rnacentral:rRNA from 1 species
UGCAAGUCGAGGGGUAACGGGGAGCUUGCUCCGCCGACGACCGGCGCACGGGUGCGCACCGCGUAUGGAACCUACCUUGUACAGGGGAAUAGCCUUUGGAAACGAAGAUUAAUGCCCCGUGGUACCAUGGCCCGGCAUCGGGAUAUGGUUAAAGCCUUCGGGCGGUACAAGAUGGCCAUGCGUCCCAUUAGCUUGUUGGUAAGGUAACGGCUUACCAAGGCUACGAUGGGUAGGGGCCCUGAGAGGGGGAUCCCCCACACUGGUACUGAGACACGGACCAGACUCCUACGGGAGGCAGCAGUGAGGAAUAUUGGACAAUGGAGGAGACUCUGAUCCAGCCAUGCCGCGUGCAGGAAGAAUGCCCUAUGGGUAGUAAACUGCUUUUAUACGGGAAGAAAAAGAGCUACGUGUAGCUUACUGACGGUACCGUAAGAAUAAGGACCGGCUAACUCCGUGCCAGCAGCCGCGGUAAUACGGAGGGUCCGAGCGUUAUCCGGAAUUAUUGGGUUUAAAGGGUCCGUAGGCGGGCCGAUAAGUCAGGGGUGAAAGUUUGCAGCUCAACUGUAAAAUUGCCUUUGAUACUGUUGGUCUUGAGUUAUAGUGAAGUUGCCGGAAUAUGUAGUGUAGCGGUGAAAUGCAUAGAUAUUACAUAGAACACCGAUUGCGAAGGCAGGUGACUAACUAUAUACUGACGCUGAUGGACGAAAGCGUGGGGAGCGAACAGGA